UCAACCCUUUUUUUCUAUUGG
rnacentral:piRNA from 1 species